rnacentral:rRNA from 1 species
AUUGAACGCUGGCGGAAUGCUUUACACAUGCAAGUCGAACGGCAGCACGGGGGCAACCCUGGUGGCGAGUGGCGAACGGGUGAGUAAUACAUCGGAACGUGCCCAGUCGGGGGGGAUAACGUAGCGAAAGCUACGCUAAUACCGCAUACGAUCUACGGAUGAAAGCGGGGGAUCGCAAGACCUCGCGCGGUGGGAGCGGCCGAUGGCAGAUUAGGUAGUUGGUGGGGUAAAGGCUCACCGAGCCGACGAUCUGUAGCUGGUCUGAGAGGACGACCAGCCACACUGGGACUGAGACACGGCCCAGACUCCUACGGGAGGCAGCAGUGGGGAAUUUUGGACAAUGGGCGCAAGCCUGAUCCAGCCAUUCCGCGUGCAGGAUGAAGGCCUUCGGGUUGUAAACUGCUUUUGUACGGAACGAAACGGCUCUCUCUAAUACAGGGGGCUAAUGACGGUACCGUAAGAAUAAGCACCGGCUAACUACGUGCCAGCCGCCGCCGUAACAC